rnacentral:rRNA from 1 species
AUCGACCAUCUACUCUCUGGAUGCGUGUUCUCUAGGAUUACCUGGCACAAAAUUCUAUCAUGGUGCCGACUCACUACCCCAUCGAUGGACAACGAGACUUCCUUCUUCACGUGGUGGUCCAUGGCUGUCGAAGAAUCCCCGAGCUGCCUACGGAGGGGCCUUAACUUCAUUGUUGCACUGACCGCCUGGGCCAUUUGGAAGCACCGCAAUGCUAUGAUAUUUGAGGGCCUGCGUCCCUCCACCGACGACCUGGUACUCUCGAUCAAGGAUGACACCCGUCUUUGGGCAAAGGCGGGCGCCAAAGGAUUAGCCACGAUUAUCCCUGUAACCUGA